rnacentral:rRNA from 1 species
CAAUAGCGUAUAUUAAAGUUGUUGCAGUUAAAAAGCUCGUAGUUGAAUUUCUGUCAGGAGUGACCGGGCCUUUGGAUGAACUUCCAUUGUUUUUUGCUCUGUUUGUCAUCUCUAGACAUCCUGAAAUAUUUUUUAAAAAUAUUUCUCUUUUACUGUUAGCAAAAUAGAGUGUUCCAAGCAAAGCGUAGUUUUGAAUACAUUAGAAUGGAAUAAUAAGAUAGGACUUUGGUGCUAUUUUGUUGGUUUGCACACCAAGGUAAUGAUUAAUAGGGACAGUUGGGGGUAUUCGUAUUUAAUUGUCAGAGGUGAAAUUCUUGGAUUUAUGAAAGACGAGCUACUGCGAAAGCAUUUACCAAGGAUGUUUUCAUUAA